UACGAAGGGGGCUAGCGUUGUUCGGAAUGACUGGGCGUAAAGGGCGCGUAGGCGGCGGUCACAGUCAGAUGUGAAAUUCCUGGGCUUAACCUGGGGGCUGCAUUUGAUACGUGGUUGCUUGAGUGGGGAAGAGGGUCGUGGAAUUCUCAGUGUAGAGGUGAAAUUCGUAGAUAUUGGGAAGAACACCGGUGGCGAAGGCGGCGACCUGGUCCUUGACUGACGCUGAGGCGCGAAAGCGUGGGGAGCAAACAGG
rnacentral:rRNA from 1 species